rnacentral:rRNA from 1 species
UUGAACACUGGCGGCAGGCCUAACACAUGCAAGUCGAGCGGAUGAAGGGAGCUUGCUUCUGGAUUCAGCGGCGGACGGGUGAGUAAUGCCUAGGAAUCUGCCUGGUAGUGGGGGACAACGUUUCGAAAGGAGCGCUAAUACCGCAUACGUCCUACGGGAGAAAGCAGGGGACCUUCGGGCCUUGCGCUAUCAGAUGAGCCUAGGUCGGAUUAGCUAGUUGGUGAGGUAAUGGCUCACCAAGGCGACGAUCCGUAACUGGUCUGAGAGGAUGAUCAGGCACACUGGAACGGAGACACGGUCCAGACUCCUGCGGGAGGCAGCAGUGGGGAAUAUUGGACAAUGGGCGAAAGCCUGAUCCAGCCAUGCCGCGUGUGUGAAGAAGGUCUUCGGAUUGUAAAGCACUUUAAGUUGGGAGGAAGGGUUGUAGAUUAAUACUCUGCAAUUUUGACGUUACCGACAGAAUAAGCACCGGCUAACUCUGUGCCAGCCGCCGCGGUAACAC